GAUGAACGCUGGCGGCGUGCCUAAUACAUGCAAGUCGAGCGAACAGACGAGGAUCUUGCUCCUCUGACGUUAGCGGCGGACGGGUGAGUAACACGUGUAUAACCUACCUAUAAUACUGGGAUAACUUCGGGAAACCGGAGCUAAUACCGGAUAACAUGUUGAACCGCAUGGUUCAACAGUGAAAGACGGUCUUGCUGUCUCUUAUAGAUGGAUCCGCGCCGCAUUAGCUAGUUGGUAAGGUAACGGCUUACCAAGGCAACGAUGCGUAGCCGACGUGAGAGGGUGAUCGGCCACACGGGAACGGAGACACGGUCCAGACGCCUACGGGAGGCAGCAGUAGGGAAUCUUCCGCAAUGGGCGAAAGCAUGACGGAGCAACGCCGCGUGAGUGAAGAAGGUCUUCGGAUCGUAAAACUCUGUUAUUAGGGAAGAACAAAUGUGUAAGUAAAUAUGCACGUCUUGACGGUACCUAAUCAGAAAGCCACGGCUAACUACGUG
rnacentral:rRNA from 1 species